UCGGGAAUUUUGCACAAUGGCCGAAAGGCUGAUGCAGCAACGCCGCGUGAGUGAUGAAGGCCUUAGGGUUGUAAAGCUCUGUUGCCCGUGACGAACGGCACGAUCAGGAAAUGGGUUGUGUUUGACGGUAGCGGGAGAGGAAGCCCCGGCUAACUACGUGCCAGCAGCCGCGGUAAUACGUAGGGGGCGAGCGUUGUCCGGAUUUAUUGGGCGUAAAGGGCGUGUAGGCGGCCUGCUAAGUCGGAGGUGAAACCCCAGAGCUCAACUCUGGGCCUGCCUCCGAAACUGAUGGGCUUGAGUAUCCUAGAGGGUAGUGGAAUUCCCGGUGUAGCAGUGAAAUGCGUAGAGAUCGGGAGGAACACCAGUGGCGAAGGCGACUGCCUGGGGGAAAACUGACGCUGAGGCGCGAAAGCUGGGGGAGCGAACAG
rnacentral:rRNA from 1 species